AUCGCUUUUGCUGAAAUUUCCACGAAAGAAGACAUGUUGGAAUUUAUAUUCGCGAGUUUUGGAUCACUAUUCAAGCGUUUCGAAUCACUAUUCAAGGUUUCGAAUCACUAUUCAAGGUUUUGAUUGCUAUACUGCAAUAAAAAGCGGGUAAACCUUUCGUUUCCCAUCUUUUGCUUUGUACUUGGGGCAAGCACUAUAGCAAAUCUGGCAAAACUGAAUUUCGUUCUUUGAAACAAAAUUUACGUAAUUUCAUCACAAGGUGUAAUAUUUUAAUUCAACAAAAAUACUAUCUCAGACUGUAUACCUUCCUUCCCAGUACAGGAGUAUUUUUACACCAAUUUUUCCAAGCAGUAUGCCGCACAAUUUAUUUUCUGAAAAUUGUUGUUAAUAUUUUUGUAUUCACUUUGUUUCGUUUAUGAGUUAUCUUGAUAUAGAAACUGAAACGACAUGAAUUGUAUCAAUCAAACUAGUCAACCUGCAUCACUUGUUAACUAGUCACACGAUUCGUCUGCUGAGAUGCUGACCCACUCAAAGUAACAAAAGAAAUUCAUGCAUCCAUUGCUGCCUCUAAACUACAACUUUCUCCGUGGUUUAGCAAGGAUUCCAGUCGGGAGGUCACGUUAAACGAGAUGGUACGAUUGGAAAUGGAAAAAAUAACUCGUUACACUGAGGUCAACUGGCAACUGUGUAUUUUUUUAACAGCACAGUAGUUGCUGACAACAGAACUGUGAAAGAUUGAAUCCAACUGGUUAAUGUCCAUAACCGUAGCCUCCUCCGUGACCGCUGCUAAAUCCACCGUAAACACCACCGACAGCUACGGCUUGAGCGGCUUGGGCAGCCGAAUAAGCUUUAUUGGCGGCCUGCUGGGCAGCUGCUAAAUCAGCUAAAUCAGCUUGGGACUGGUACAUCAGAUGUUGAGCAUGGUGGGCAGCAUGGCUUGAUCAGUAACCACCGUAAUGGGCAGAAGAAGAAGCAGCUGCUUGAGCAGCCUAAUCAAGGAAUGUGCAAAGCAUAAGUUGCCUGAGCUGCAAGCGCUGCCUGGGCUUGUUGGGCUACUUGGGAUGCAGCAGCAGCCUGCGAAGCUUGAGCUGCCUUGGCAACAUUUGUAGCUUGCUGGGCUAGCACAGCUGCCCCUCCAUAACCGACUCCAUAUCCACCUCCAUGCACUCCACCGUAAUCACCACCAUAUCCAGAAGCAAAACCUCGUUUUUCCUAUUGAAAUAUUCAUGUUGGUUUGAGUCAUUUACAAGAUCGGUAGAAUGAGAAAUAACUGAUAGUAUUUUUAUUACUCUGAAUAGUCGAACAGAUUCUUUGUCAGUUUGCAGAGCUGACGCUGUUGCCAUGACACCUAACAAGCCAAAUAAAACAACAUGAAUGUUUUCGAAUCAAGAAUGAAACCGGGAAACACGUUUGGUGGAAAAACAAUUGAAAAGUGUAAAGCGUUGACUACCUAAGGCGAAAAUAAGAAUGGAAAACACGUCGUUGAUCCGUCGUUAGUCAACGAGCCACUGCGUUCUUUAGCUAGAAUUGCACUGACUUGAAAUCGGCUAAUCCACUUGCUUUUUAAAGUACUUUCCCUCUUUCUUUUCAUUUGCUUUCUAUCACCCCCCGAGUGACUCCGAGUCCAUAUAGGCGUAUGUAAACAAAAAACGGCGAUACCUUUUAAUGGACAGAACUUGUUGCUUGUUUGAUAUCGAGAGCGUCACACAACACGAUCGACCCAUUCUCUUAGCCAAAAUGGUUCAGUAAAUCAGUAAGCCGCUAUUGGCACACAAUAAUGUGCAAAAAGCCAAACGAAAACAAUUUUUCGAUCCAAGCAUUGUUGCAUUUGAAACGUUCAUUGCUACCCAACAGCCGUGCAUUGAUGACAACUCUAGCGAGCAGUGUUUUGAAUUAUGCGCAUAGAAUCUAAUGCUUCAAUUUGUUUCAUUUUGGUAGGCUUUUUUAACCAUGUCUGUUUUCUCUCAACACACUUUUCGUUUUAAAAGGGCGACUAAAAAGAUGUUCUUUUUCCUUUGAAGGAUGGGUACGUAAAGGAUAUGCUUUCCAUUUCCCAUUGUUUUCCCAAGUUGUCACAUGUUGAGCCUGCGAAAUUUUUGGCAAACGUGAAUGACCGCGACACUCGUAUGUAUCGAAGUUGUGAUGACUUACCUGGACACCGUUUAAGAUUGACGAUUCAUCGAUGGGUUAAAGUCUUUGUUUCCACUAACAGAGUGCAUUAUAUUUGUUGCCUAUGAAUCUGGAAAACUGUGUACACGAAUUUGAAUUUCUGUAAUGUCAUCGUCAGGAAACGAGGGUUGCUUCUAUGUGUUAUAUUUUGUUGUGUCACUUAAUUGUUUGACAGAAGCUGCAUUUGGAUGAUUGAAGUAAACCAACAGUUUAGCAGCAAUCAGUUAUCAACACAAUGGAUUGAUCUACAAUCUUCGUUAAAAAUCUGCAACAUUUUUCGUCAUUCAUGGUUGGUCAAAGAUGAAUCAUUCAAGGAUAAUUCUUUCAGUUAAAGUUUAACAAGCGGGGCAGCCACCGUGUCCGUCACCAUAUCCUCCGCCGAAUCCACCCUAGGAUCCACCACCACCGACGGCUGAAUAGAAUAGCUAUUGAAUAGCAACGAAUCGCAUUUUUUUAGGACGCCGUAUGUUCGGCUGAAGUGGCGAUUGUGGGAUGUCAAUAAAAUGGCAAGUCUUUGGCUAGCAAAAAAAAA